CGAUGACCGUUCCUCCUAUUGCUCAGAGUCCUGGCAAGCAGGAUUUUAGGUCAUCGCAGAUUAUACUUUGGUCUUUUUCACUUGGGGUUUGUGAAGCAGUGGGACUGCUCCUCUCUACCCUGAAUUUUGCAGGACCAGACAGUU